AUUGAACGCUGGCGGCGGGCCUAAUACAUGCAAGUCGAGCGACGCGGGGACGGGUGAGUAACACGUGGAUAACCUCCUAUAAGACGGGGGUAAAUUCGGGGAACCGGAGCUAAUCCGGAUACUGAGAGAUGGAUCCGCGCUGCAUUAGCUAGGUGGUAAGGUAACGGAUUACCAAGGCAACGAUCCAUAGCCGACCUGAUUGGGUAGUCGGCCACACUGGAACUGGGACACGGUCCAGACUCCGACGGGAGGCAGCAGUGGGGAGUCUUCCGCAAUUGGCGAAAGCCUGACGUAGCAACGCCGCAUGAGUGAUGAAGGUCUUCGGAUCGUAAAGCUCUGUUAUAAGGGAGGCGGUACCUAAUCAGAAAGCCACGGCUAACUCCGUGCGAGCAGCCGCGGUAAUUC
rnacentral:rRNA from 1 species